rnacentral:rRNA from 1 species
AACGUAGGGGGCAAGCGUUGCCCGGAUUCACUGGGCGUAAAGCGGGUGUAGGCGGUUCUCUAAGUCGGAUGUGAAAUCCUACGGCCUAACCGUGGAAUCGCAUCCGAUACUGGGGAACUUGGAGGACGGUAGAGGCCGGUGGGAAUUCCCGGUGUACCGGUGAAAUGGACAGAUAUCGGGAGGAACACCAGUGGCGAAGGCGGCUCACUGGUCCGGUACUGACGCGUGAGGUGCGAAAGCGUGGGGAGCAAACAGG